CGAGACAACACUCUCUAAGGAACUCGGCAAAAUAGCCCUGUAACUUCGGGAGAAGGGGUGCCUAUUCACAAAGGGUGUCGCAGUGACCAGGCUCGGGCGACUGUUUACCAAAAACACAGGUCUCCGAAAAGUCAUAAGACAAUGUACGGGGGUUGACGCCUGCCCACUGACGGAAGGUCAAGAAAGUUAGUGACCUGAUGACAUGGGAGCCAGCGAUUGAAGCCCUGGUGAACGACGGUCUUAACUAUUACGGUCCUAAGGUAGCGAAAUUCUUUUCAGGUAAGUUUUGACCCGCACGAAAGGCGUAACGAUCUGGGCACUGUAUCAGAGAAAGGCUCAGUGAAAUAGACAUGUCUGUGAAGAUGCGCACUACCUGCACCUGGAUAGAAAGACCCUAUGAAGCUUCACUGUUCCCUAGGAUUGGCUUUGGGCCUUUGCUGCGCAGCUUAGGUGGAAGGCAAAGAAGGCCUCCUUCCGGGGGGCCCGAGCCGUCAGUGAGAUACCACGCUGGAAGGGAUAGAAUUCUAACCUUGAAUCAGGACCUACGGGCCAAGGGACAGUCUCAGGUAGACUGUUUCUAUGGAGCGUAGGCCUCUCAAAAGGUAAUGGAGGUGUGCAAAGGUUUCCUCGAGUCGGAUGGAGAUUGGCCCUCGAGUGAAAAGGCAUAAGGGAGCUUGAAUUCAAGAUCUACCCAUCGAAUAGGGAUGAAAGUCGGCCCUAGUGAUCCAAUGGUACCGACUGGAAGGGCCAUCUCUCAACAGAUAAAAUUUACUCUAGGGAUAACAGGUUGAUCUUCCCCAAGAUCUCACAACGACGGGAAGGUUUGGCACCUCGAUGUCGGCUCUUCGCCACCUGGGGAUGUAGUAUGUUCCAAGGGUUGGGUUGUUCUCCCAUUAAAGCGGUAUGUGAUCUAGGUUCAGAAUGUUGUGAGACAGUUUGGUCCAUAUCUGGUGUGGGCUUUAGAGCAUUGAGAGGACCUUUCCCUAGUACGAGAGAAUCGGGAAGGACGCACCUCUGAUGUACCAGUAUCGUGCCCACGGUAAAUGCAGAGUAGCCAAAUGCGGAGCAGAUAACUGCUGAAAGUAUCUAAGUAGUAAGCCCACCCCAAGAUGAGUGAUCUCCUAUUCCGACUUCCCUCAAAGCUUCUGGUAGUACAACCGAGACAGCGACAUGUUCUCUGCCCCUGCGGGGAUAGAGCGACUGAAAUUUUUUUGAGAAUUCAAGAGAAGAUCACGGCGAGACAAGUCGUUUAUCAAUACGAUAGGUGUCAAGUGGAAGUGCAGUGAUGUAUGCAGCUGAGGCAUCCUAACAGACCGGUAGACUUGAACCUUGUUCCUACAUGACCUGAUCA
rnacentral:rRNA from 1 species